rnacentral:rRNA from 1 species
AGCAGUCGCCGCGGUAAUACAGAGGGUGCGAGCGUUAAUCGGAUUUACUGGGCGUAAAGCGUGCGUAGGCGGCUUCUUAAGUCGGAUGUGAAAUCCCUGAGCUUAACUUAGGAAUUGCAUUCGAUACUGGGAAGCUAGAGUAUGGGAGAGGAUGGUAGAAUUCCAGGUGUAGCGGUGAAAUGCGUAGAGAUCUGGAGGAAUACCGAUGGCGAAGGCAGCCAUCUGGCCUAAUACUGACGCUGAGGUACGAAAGCAUGGGGAGCAAACAGGAUUAGAGACCCCUGUAGUCCCUGUCUCUUAUAC